UACAGGGGUCCCAAGCGUUGUUCGGAUUCACUGGGCGUAAAGGGUGCGUAGGCGGUUAGGUAAGUUUGUUGUGAAAUCUCCGGGCUUAACCCGGAAAUUGCAAUGAAAACUGCCUAGCUAGAGGAUUGUAGGGGGGACUGGAAUUCUCGGUGUAGCAGUGAAAUGCGUAGAUAUCGAGAGGAACACCAGUGGCGAAGGCGAGUCUCUGGACAAAUCCUGACGCUGAUGCACGAAAGCUGGGGGAGCAAACAGG
rnacentral:rRNA from 1 species